UCUGUGCACUCGCAGUUGGUGUACGAUUCCAGGUAGUAGCAUUGGAAACUCUGGUCCCGCAGGUCCAGGUGCUGCUUCACUUGCAUUUCGAGGAACUCAGGAAUCUAGGUAAUGGGGAAACACCUGGAGCGUGGUAUCUUCAUUCAGUGGAGCCAGUUACUUGUACACUUGGUAUUGUGAUCAUCAUACUUAAUUGAUGCUGGCAACCGAUUGAUUAGCAAAGCGACAACAAAUCAACAAGUUGAAUGCGGAACACACAAGUAGACAGAUUCGCAAGAGGAGUGCUCCUCUCGAGUGGACACUUGUGGCUUCUAUCAGGUCGCCAGACAGCCAGUGAAAUAGAAAACAAAAGCCAUUUGCCCAUUUGGCAAUCGGUGGGAGCGGGGAAAAGUGCAAGGCAGAUAGAAAAAUGUGGGAAUGCACAUUUCUGCGUAAUCAUGGGCAAAAUAAGUUUAAAAUUUCAUACAAGCUUAAAACGGACUUAAAUCGGAUUUAGUGCUAAGCUUGCAACUGCAGACUACAAAAGAAUUUAAAUAGAAGCCUAUUUCGACAAAAGCGAAGUGCAUAGGAAAAAUUAUAAGAUAACGGCCAGAUUACGUAUACGACUCAUAAAACGGUCGUCGUCGCACUGAAUUGCGACGUAAUAAAUUCACUUUGGCCAUGGCAGUCGCAGCGCGGGAGGAGGAGCAAGGGUGCUAUGGAGCAGAAGGGGCGGCUUCCGGAGGAUUCCAAGCAACUGGGAGCCCGCCGUUCGCCGUGGGCGUGUAUUAUGCAUAUGGGAACCGGGGCACCGAGUUUCAUGUGGCGAGGAAUUUUUGAAAGACGAGAAGCGUGCACGUCGGCGAGAUUAUUAAUUUCUUAAUUGUUUGCCAGUCGUCGUGAGGAGUAAGUGCAGCACGGCUUGCCAAGCGCCGAUCAAAUAUUAAUAGCUAGGCAGUUGCAUAUUUAAUGGUUACAAAUAUUUCGGUAUUUAUUUAAAUAAUAGAAAUUAGACAAAACUAAAUUUAUACCCAAUUCUUUUUUUUUUUUACUUAUAAGUUUGACCGUAGUUUAAACUAAACUUAGUUUCGAUCUGAAUUGGCAUAGCCUGAUCAACUUCUUUGUAUCUCUGACUUAACUCUUGCGCCAGCCGUUAAUUGUAUUUUAAGUUUAUAAUAUAGAAAUUAGCAAACAUCUUAUACGGAUACAACCUCACAGCCCCUUCCCUCUUCCCCUCACAAAUUGAUCGCUUUAAAUGGCAAUAGCACGUGUGCGUCGAUCGGCUUAAUCAUUUUCGGUGUAUUUUUUAUUAUUAUUUUUUUUUUUUCUUUUGUUCGUUGCUUGCUAAUUGUUAUUGCUGCCAGUUGAUGCACUUGUGCAAAUGAAUGCGUAUAUGAAUUUGUUCCCAGUUGUGUUGUUUAAUUAGUAACAGUCGUCCGUCGUUCAAUUGCGUAAAAUAGAGAGCAAACAAAAGUGCCCAGAACAAUCGCAGGAGUGACGCACUCGAGAUGGCAAGACACAUCGGAAAACGAUAGAGAUAUAUACAUAUAUAUAGUAAAUAUAUUAAUGAGGGAUCUAGGCCCAACAAUCUGCUGCAGAUUACGAUGGCUAGUCGGUCUCCAGUUUGAAUGUGUGAAUCACAUGUGUGACACUAUUUUUUUUUUACUUUAGUAUUUUUUUUUUUUAGUAACUUCUGUUUGCCUGUUUUCAUACGAAGAUUGCUAAUUGAAAACAGUUUUUACGUAUGUAUGCAUGUAUCCCAUUUCAGUUAAAUAAACACAAAACAGCAACAGACAAAUUGCCUCACAAACACUUGUUGAACACUUGUGUUUAACCCACGGAUCAGAGAACUGCAGCCCGCCACUGGCACUCUACGUCCACCCGAUAAACACUCGGUACUCUAGGCACCCCUGUGUUUUUUGACACCCUACUUGUGGCAACACAAAAUACUCGAGUGUUUUACCAACGUGGUGUUUUUGUUACGAGUAAAAAAACCACCCGAGGCCUGCUGCGCAAUAACCGUUUGGGUGAGUGGACGCACAGUCAACGAUCGGCCGCAGGUCAUUUUUUGUACGCCUAAAAUUUGUAUGGGUGGAAGCGUGACGGGUAUAAGAAAUGAAGGGUAAAAGGGAAUACCCAAGAAAGUUUUCGUGCUCAUGUCUUUGCUCUUUGAUGUACUCAAUGGGUGCCACCCGUUUUGAAUUAUUGCCUUGUAAUUUUUCACACGUCGCUAGCUGAAUACUCUAAUGAAAAAUAUUCUUACAUAAAGUCAUUUUUGAAAUGAAU